UGAAACAAGUCAAAUUAAACAGAAGAGUAUCUCUUUCAUCCCAAUAACUACAAGCACCCAUUUGACAACCAAACAAUAAGAUGUGGCGGAGGUAGUGUACAAAUGUCAACCAACUACUACAAUCUUUUGACAUGACAAUAGAUUAUAAUAUUCACCGACCUAACAACCAACAAUUUAUAUAAAAUGCUCAUUUUCUAUUCCGAAGUGGCAAGAAAAAAAUAUAAAAUGCUCAUGUUCAAGUUACAUAAGCCAAGCCAAAAUCGACUGCAGUCCAUGAAACAGAUUUGCAUUUGUAAACUUGACGAUAAGGUAAGAACAGAAUGAACAAAAAAGCAGACAGCCCCAGACCAUAUUGCAAUUUCAUCUUAGAUUUUGACCAGUUAGCUGACUCCAAACCCAAAUAACAAGAUUUAACAAUCUUUCUAUCUGUCACGUUCAAAUGGCCGGGAGAAAGCACAAACUAAUACUAGUUAAUAAUAUCAA
rnacentral:misc_RNA from 1 species